GCAGGUAGUCCCUUGGCCACAAGACACAUAGGGGUCUGAUGCCUUGGCUGUUGACUGCUGCUAAAGUGUGCAGCAUGCUGUGGCCACCACAGCAUAGAAAGCACAAGCUGCUCUGAUUACAGGGCUCUAUCCCAGCACUUUGGGAGGCCAAGGCAGGCGGAUCACCCGAGGUCAGGAGUUUGAGACCAGCCUGACCAACAUGGAGAAACCCCGUCUCUACUAAAAAUACAAAGUUAGCUGGGGGUGGUGGUACAUGCCUGUAAUCCCAGCUACUUGGGAGGCUGA
rnacentral:lncRNA from 1 species